rnacentral:rRNA from 1 species
GUCCACGCCUUAACGAUGGAUGCUCGAUGUCGGCCCGCAAGGGUCGGUGUCUAAGCUAACGCAUUAAGCAUCCCACCUGGGAAGUACGAUCGCAAGGUUGAACUCAAGGAAUUGACGGGCCCGGCACAAGCAGUGGAGCAUGUGGUUUAAUUUCGAUGCAACGCGAAGAACCUUACCUGGGUUUGAAAGGCAAGUGACAACCGAUGAAAGUACGGUCUCCCCGCCAAGGGCGACUUGUACAGGUGCUGCAUGGCUGUCGU